rnacentral:rRNA from 1 species
GUGGAUUAGAUACCCUGGUAGUCCACACUGUAAACGAUGAAUGCUAGGUGUGGGUCCGAAAGGAUCCGUGCCGCAGCUAACGCAAUAAGCAUUCCACCUGGGGAGUACGGCCGCAAGGUUGAAACUCAAAGGAAUUGACGGGAGCCCGCACAAGCAGUGGAGUAUGUGGUUUAAUUCGACGCAACGCGAAGAACCUUACCAGGACUUGACAUCCCAGGAACCCGGCGUAAUGGCUGGGGUGCCCUUCGGGGAAUCUGGAGACAGGUGGUGCACGGUUGUCGACAGCU